GACGAACGCUGGCGGCGUGCUUAACACAUGCAAGUCGAACGGUGAAGGGACUGGUUUUGCUGGUCCUGGAUGAGUGGCGAACGGGUGAGUAACACGUGAGUAACCUGCCCCCUUCUUCUGGAUAACCGCAUGAAAGUGUGGCUAAUACGGGAUAUUCUGGGUCUGUCGCAUGGUGGGCCUGGGAAAGAUUGCGCCUUUUUUGGUGUUUUUGGUGGGGGAUGGGCUCGCGGCCUAUCGGCUUGUUGGUGGGGUGAUGGCCUACCAAGGCGGUGACGGGUAGCCGGCCUGAGAGGGUGGACGGUCACACUGGGACUGAGACACGGCCCAGACUCCUACGGGAGGCAGCAGUGGGGAAUAUUGCACAAUGGGCGCAAGCCUGAUGCAGCGACGCCGCGUGAGGGAUGGAGGCCUUCGGGUUGUGAACCUCUUUCGCCAGUGAAGCAGGCCUGCCUCUUUUUGUGGGUGGGUUGACGGUAGCUGGAGAAGAAGCGCCGGCUAACUACGUG
rnacentral:rRNA from 1 species